rnacentral:rRNA from 1 species
GCGACGCUGGCGGCGUGUNCAUCAUGCAAGUCGAGCGGACAGAUGGCCAGCUUGCUCCCUGAUGUUAGCGGCGGACGGGUGAGUAACACGUGGGUAACCUGCCUGUAAGACUGGGAUAACUCCGGGAAACCGGGGCUAAUACCGGAUGGUUGUUUGAACCGCAUGGUUCAAACAUAAAAGGUGGCUUCGGCUACCACUUACAGAUGGACCCGCGGCGCAUUAGCUAGUUGGUGAGGUAACGGCUCACCAAGGCAACGAUGCGUAGCCGACCUGAGAGGGUGAUCGGCCACACUGGGACUGAGACACGGCCCAGACUCCUACGGGAGGCAGCAGUAGGGAAUCUUCCGCAAUGGACGAAAGUCUGACGGAGCAACGCCGCGUGAGUGAUGAAGGUUUUCGGAUCGUAAAGCUCUGUUGUUAGGGAAGAACAAGUACCGUUCGAAUAGGGCGGUACCUUGACGGUACCUAACCAGAAAGCCACGGCUAACUACGUGCCAGCAGCCGCGGUAAUNCGUAGGUGGCAAGCGUUGUCCGGAAUUAUUGGGCGUAAAGGGCUCGCAGGCGGUUUCUUAAGUCUGAUGUGAAAGCCCCCGGCUCACCGGGGGAGGGUCAUUGGAAACUGGGGAACUUGAGUGCAGAAGAGGANAGUGGAAUUCCACGUGUAGCGGUGAAAUGCGUAGAGAUGUGGAGGANCACCAGUGGCGAAGGCGACUCUCUGGUCUGUAACUGACCCUGAGANCGAAAGCGUGGGGAGCGAACAGGAUUANAUACCCUGGGUANUCCNCNCCGUAAACGAUGAGUGCUAAGUUUUAGGGGGUUUCCNCCCCUUAUGCUGCAGCUACCAUUAANNCUCCCCUGGGGNUAGGUCCCAGANUAACUCAAGANUGACGGGGCCCCNANCGGGGACNUNGNUUAUNNAACACCNNAAACUUCNGNNUGAAUCUUAANCNAAAAAGAACCCUUGGGCANANGGGGCUGUUCCCNCNUCNGAAUUGUANCCNAGCNCNUUUUUCNNUNNUGNCUNAGGGCGGANCGGAGGGACCANNCCCUNCGCNCNCAG